CGGGACGUGGCGCAGCCCGGUAGCGCGCACCCUUGGGGUGGGUGAGGUCGAGAGUUCGAAUCUCUCCGUUCCGACCA
rnacentral:tRNA from 5 species